rnacentral:rRNA from 1 species
AGUGAACGCUGGCGGUAGGCCUAACACAUGCAAGUCGAACGGCAGCACAGGAGAGCUUGCUCUCUAGGUGGCGAGUGGCGGACGGGUAAGGAAUACAUCGGAAUCUGCCCAGUCGUGGGGGAUAACGUAGGGAAACUUACGCUAAUACCGCAUACGACCUUCGGGUGAAAGAGGGGGAUCGCAAGACCUCUCGCGAUUGGAUGAGCCGAUGUCGGAUUAGCUAGUUAGCGGGGUAAUGGCCCACCAAGGCGACGAUCCGUAGCUGGUCUGAGAGGAUGAUCAGCCACACUGGAACUGAGACACGGUCCAGACUCCUACGGGAGGCAGCAGUGGGGAAUAUUGGACAAUGGGCGCAAGCCUGAUCCAGCCAUACCGCGUGGGUGAAGAAGGCCUUCGGGUUGUAAAGCCCUUUUGUUGGGAAAGAAAUCUUUCAGGCUAAUACCCUGGGAGGAUGACGGUACCCAAAGAAUAAGCACCGGCUAACUUCGUG